CUAAACCAAGAGACAAAUUGA
rnacentral:miRNA from 1 species